rnacentral:lncRNA from 1 species
UGGAAGGCAGGGAAUUGCAAUGAAAGAGCACGGAGGUGAGAAGCUGUGCUCCUUGGGGUGAAGGCAGCUUCUGUGCUCCUGGGAUCUACUGUUAAGCCAGGGUGACGCCAGCUUGCAUGCUACCGGAGGGCCCUCCUCUCUUUCCUUCUCUUUUCUGCAAAACCUCGUGGGAUGCCACAUGAGUCUGUUUUGUGUUGCCAUAAAGAAAUAUCUGAGACUGGGCAAUUUAUCAAAAAAAUGUAUAAUUGGCCAUGGUUCUGCAGGGUGUACAGUAAGCGUGGUGCCCUCAUCUGCUUCUGGGGAGGCCUCAGGAAGCUUUUACUCAUGGCAGAAGGGAAGUAAAGCCGGCAUCUCACAGAGCGAAACAGGGAGCAAGAGAGGUGCCUGGCUCUUUUAUUUUAUUAUUUAUUGUAUUUUUUGUGUGAUUAUUUUUAACUUUUAUUUUAGGAUCAAGGGCACAUGUGCAAGUUAGUUAUAUAGGUAAACUGUGUGUCAUGGAGGUUCGAUGUACAGAUUAUUUCAGAUAAUGGGCAUAGUACUCUGUAGACAUUUUUCCUGAUCCUCUCUCUCCUCCCACCUUCCACCCUCAAGCAGGCCUCGGUGUCUGUUGUUCCCCUCUUUGUGCCCAUUGGUUCUUAUCAUUUAGCUCCCAUUUAUAAAGAAGAACAUGCGGGACUUGGUUUUCUAUUUCUGCAUUAAUUCACAUUGGAUAAAGGCCUCCAGCUCCAUCCAUGUUCCUGCAAAA